rnacentral:rRNA from 1 species
UACGUAGGGGGGCAAGCGUUGUCCGGAAUUAUUGGGCGUAAAGAGCGCGUAGGCGGUCCGAUAAGUCGGCUGUGAAAGUCAGGGGCUCAACCCUUGGAAGCCGGCCGAUACUGUCGGACUAGAGUCCGGAAGAGGCGAGUGGAAUUCCCGGUGUAGCGGUGAAAUGCGCAGAUAUCGGGAGGAACACCAAUGGCGAAGGCAGCUCGCUGGGACGGUACUGACACUGAGGCGCGAAAGCGUGGGGAGCGAACAGG